rnacentral:misc_RNA from 1 species
GAAAUGCGAUAAUUAAUGUGAAUUGCAGAAUUCAGUGAAUCAUCGAGUCUUUGAACGCACAUUGCGCCCCCUGGUAUUCCGGGGGGCAUGCCUGUCCGAGCGUCAUUGCUGCCCUCAAGCACGGCUUGUGUGUUGGGCUUCCGUCCCUGGCAACGGGGACGGGCCCAAAAGGCAGUGGCGGCACCAUGUCUGGUCCUCGAGCGUAUGGGGCUUUGUCACCCGCUCCCGUAGGUCCAGCUGGCAGCUAGCCUCGCAACCAAUCUUUUUAACCAGGUUGACCUCGGAUCAGGUAGGGAUACCCGCUAAAUUUAAGC